rnacentral:rRNA from 1 species
AUUGAACGCUGGCGGCAGGCCUAACACAUGCAAGUCGAGCGGAUGAAGGGAGCUUGCUCCUGGAUUCAGCGGCGGACGGGUGAGUAAUGCCUAGGAAUCUGCCUGUUAGUGGGGGAUAACGUCCGGAAACGGGCGCUAAUACCGCAUACGUCCUUAGGGAGAAAGUGGGGGAUCUUCGGACCUCCCGCUAUCAGAUGAUCCUAUGUCGGAUUAGCUAGUUGGUGGGGUAAAGGCCUACCAAGGCGACGAUCCGUAACUGGUCUGAGAGGAUGAUCAGUCACACUGGAACUGAGACACGGUCCAGACUCCUACGGGAGGCAGCAGUGGGGAAUAUUGGACAAUGGGCGAAAGCCUGAUCCAGCCAUGCCGCGUGUGUGAAGAAGGUCUUCGGAUUGUAAAGCACUUUAAGUUGGGAGGAAGGGCAGUAAGUUAAUACCUUGCUGUUUUGACGGUACCAACAGAAUAAGCACCGGCUAACUUCGUG